rnacentral:rRNA from 1 species
GUGCCAGCCGCCGCGGUAAUACGUAGGGUGCGAGCGUUGUCCGGAAUUACUGGGCGUAAAGAGCUCGUAGGUGGUUUGUCGCGUUGUUCGUGAAAUCUCACGGCUUAACUGUGAGCGUGCGGGCGAUACGGGCAGACUGGAGUACUGCAGGGGAGACUGGAAUUCCUGGUGUAGCGGUGGAAUGCGCAGAUAUCAGGAGGAACACCGGUGGCGAAGGCGGGUCUCUGGGCAGUAACUGACGCUGAGGAGCGAAAGCGUGGGGAGCGAACAGGAUUAGAUACCCUGGUAGUCCACGCCGUAAACGGUGGGUACUAGGUGUGGGUUUCCUUCCUUGGGAUCCGUGCCGUAGCUAACGCAUUAAGUACCCCGCCUGGGGAGUACGGCCGCAAGGCUAAAAACUUAAAGGAAUUGACGG